rnacentral:tRNA from 1 species
UCCCUCGUGGCGCAAUUGGCUAGCGCGUUCGACUGUUAGUGUUUGACGGAUGAUUUCGUUGCAUGGUUAGGAGAUCGAGAGGUUCGUGGUUCGACCCCACGCGAGGGAG